rnacentral:rRNA from 1 species
GAAAGCGUGGGGAGCAAACAGGAUUAGAUACCCUGGUAGUCCACGCCGUAAACGUUGGGUGCUAGAUGUGGGAACUAUUCCACGGUUUCCGUAUCGUAGCUAACGCAAUAAGCACCCCGCCUGGGGAGUACGGUCGCAAGGCUAAAACUCAAAGGAAUUGACGGGGAUCCGCACAAGCGGCGGAGCAUGCGGAUUAAUUCGAAGCAACGCGAAGAACCUUACCAAGGCUUGACAUAUACGAGAAAAGCUCAGAAAUGAGAAACUCUUUGGACACUCGUUUACAGGUGGUGCAUGGUUGUCGUCAGCUCGUGUCGUGAGAUGUUGGGUUAAGUCCCUCAACGAGCGCAACCCCCGUCCUAUGUUGCCAGCGGGUUAUGCCGGGGACUCAUAGGAAACCGCCGGGGUUAACUCGGAGGAAGGUGGGGAUGACGUCAAAUCAUCAUGCCCCUUAUGUCUUGGGCUUCACGCAUGCUACAAUGGUCGGUACAGAGGGUUGCAAUACCGUAAGGUGGAGCUAAUCUCAAAAAGCCGAUCUCAGUUCGGAUUGAGGUCUGCAACUCGACCUCAUGAAGUCGGAGUCGCUAGUAAUCGCAGAUCAGCAACGCUGCGGUGAAUACGUUCUCGGGCCUUGUACACACCGCCCGUCAAGUCAUGAAAAUUGGUAGCACCCAAAGCCGAUGUCCUAACCCUUUUGGGAGGGAGUCGUCUAAGGUGAGAUCGGUGAUUAGGGCUAAGUCGUAACAAGGUAGCCGUACCGGAAGGUGCGGCUG